CACACCUCGUGGGGGUCUCCCCGUGACCAGCUGAGAGGACGGACAAGGCUGAGGUUGGUUCGUGCAUGGAUCGGGCUCAGUGUUGGUGUGCGCUGAAGACAAUUGCGGUUGCACUCACUUCCUGCUGGGGGCGUGGCCUCAAAGACAGUGGGCGGAGCUUUGGGUGGACCCCUGGCCACCUAUGUGUGUAAAGAGAGAAGUGGCCUGAGGUCAGGGUAUGCGUGGGCUCAGGGGCAGUGGCUGAACUGGUCGGGAGAGUCUGCAAGGAGCAAGACAGGAAGAAUGGGAAGAUGUGGGGGAGGCGUGUGCGUGGACUGGGGGAGGGGCACACCGCGUGAGGAUCCUCGUCUCCCACGUUAACCCCUGGGAGCAUCCGGUGCACAGGGACACUAAACAACCAGGUGGACGGGAUGACCCUGCCAGCCUUUGUCCUGGGCGGCCACCGCACUUGGGCCACAGGCUCAUGAAGUGGAACAGUUACGGUGGCAGAGCUGGACGCCACUCCUGGGCCCGAGAGAAGGUGUUUCUACUCAUCGAGGCUGCUGUGGUUGCUGCACCUCUGCGUGUCUGACCUGUCAGCUACUGAGGCCGACUCUAAGCUCCCGAGAUGGUACCAUCCCCUUGAGGCGGCCAACCAGCCAGGCACUUGGUGGCAAGUUAAUUUCAUUGGACCCCCUUCCAUCUUGGAAAAGGCAGGGACGUGGUAAGGGUUCCACCCAACUUCAAGCUGCCGUUCUGCCUGUCUCUCUGGGCCCCCGUGCCAGUGGCGCAGCAGGCACAGAAAGGCGACUCCAUGCGGGCAGGAUGCGAGGUCCCGGCCAUCAUGAGGAACCAGUGCUGCUGGAUGGUGGGGACAGGGAGGGUGUGACGGGCACUCAGGUGUCCACCCAGCGAUUGUGACCAAGUGUGCUGGAGAAGAUGUGCCUGGAUGGAGGAGUGGAUGCACGAAGCAGGUGCGCCUGAGUGAUGGAAGGGUUUCCCUUCCUUGAUGACAAGUGUGACUUCUGGAGAAGAUUCACCUUCUGGGAAUCCAGGGGUUUCUCCCGGCCCACGUGGACGGGGAGACGGGAUACAGAGUGUUGGGAGGUGAGAAGCAAGAAGGAACGUUCUGGAAACAUUAUCACCGCUCAGCCCUCAGUCCGACCCGCCUUCCCCAGGAGGCCCUGAGCUCUCCUCACGGGCUCCUGCUUCAUCUUCUGUAUUUUCUCCUUAACACCUAAGACUUGACGUGAUCUCCGGUCUGUGCCUGUUUGUUUAUUAGCUGUUUCUUCCACUGGAAGUCGGCCCCAGUAUUCACUGAGCAAACGGACAACCCUUCCUGGGUCAAUACAUG
rnacentral:lncRNA from 1 species